CGAUCUCGUAACUCAAGCACUGAGCUUAUCAGGUACAUCAGAUCUGAUAUCAAGCAUCAUCUUCAGCUACGGCUCUGCUCUGAGAGGAUGAUGGGUUUUGGUGACAUGUUUUACAUAACUGAUAAGAAAUACAGUGAUUAUAAAAAGAGAGAGAGAGAGACAGCAAAUCAAAGACACUUGCUCCAGAACUUAAAGAGCGACAGCCAAAGCUUCAUAAUGUCUGCGGAGAAGAUGCGCUGGAUGGGUUUGACCCUGGGGCUGGUCCUGCUGAUUGCAGUCUCCUCAGAUGCAGCACCUUUAGCUAUACAACAGCCUGAUGAGUGCUGCUUCUUCUUCGUCAGUUUUACAAUCCCCAGUCAUGCCGUCGAAGGAAUAAAAAGACUACCGAUCCACUGCCCCAAACCAGGCUACAUAGUUACAACUCCUAAAGGAAGGAUGUGUCA
rnacentral:lncRNA from 1 species